GUUAUUUAUUACCUUGCUUGUGUGAACGCCGAGGCCUAUAAAUCGUCAACACAGGCUGUCUAAUUCCAGCAACAGCAAGGUUUCGUCACAUGUAAUUAAAAGAUCCCAAAGCCAUUGGAAUGUAAUGGAUUUGGAAAUGACACCAUGGGGGCAAGGGGAACAGGCCCGUGAAGAGGCAGCAGUAUUUCAAAGGCUCUCUUGCAAGGUUGGGAUCGAUGGGGCCACCUGGCAGGGCUCCAGCAGGCCUAGCUGAUGUGGGGGAUAAAGGAACUGUCUGGAUUUGCUCUUAUCUUCGGCUCUGGGAACACACCUUUGUCAUUCCCACCUCCACAGAGGUGUACAGAGUAAGUGAACUCACACAUUCCUGCAGCCUGGCCUGCCAAGGCUCAAGUUCUGACAGCACUGGGCUGCUGCCAUCUGGCAAGAGGAAUUCUAGAAGCAAGGAGAUAACACAGUCUUACGGGCAGACACCAUGUCCUGGGCAGCAGGAAACAGGCUGCCAUGUGUGAAGAAACCUGUGGGGGGUUCACCUGUCUAGGACCUAAAGCUUUUGGCUGUAGCCAGCCAGGAUCUCAACCUGUCAACAGGCAGAAGACAGACUCGCUCAUGAAGACCAUGUGAAGAUGAAUGCAGAGAUUAAAAUACAUGUCAAGAACAACAAGGAUUGGAGGCCAUCAUCAAAGGAGGC